rnacentral:lncRNA from 1 species
AGGUAUGCAGGGCAGGAUGAGUUCAUCUAUCUGCUCGGUGUCCUCCAACAACACAUCAGCUGAUUCGAAAUAUACGGAUUAAUUUUGAAUGCUAAAUUUAAUUUCACUGAUCUGUAAGUCUACCUAUAAACAAUAUCAAAGUGUUCUAUCCACUAUUAACUUGUCAUAUGUUUUGAAAUGAAGGAGUAUGUGCCAAGGAUUCCAUAUCUCUCCGAAUUUCAGGAAUGUUUUGAAUAUACAGACCCCUCUUUGCACUUGCAUAGAAAUUUCAGCCCUGGGUUGUUUAUUGUAACAAAAACAGUAAAUAUCUGGGAUGUAAACUGGACCUUCACUUAAUCUCUAGCUCCCCAGGAAUUUGAUGUCAUCAUAACAAUAUUUAGCCUUAUAAUCAAUGAAAUUGGGGAAAUUUAAAGUUUGUUUACUCCUAAUUUUAUUUUUCUGCAAAAUAUAAUUAGAUUUAAGUAUACAUAGCCCAAAAUUAUUAAUUUUCUUUCUUUCCUUUAUCUUAUUUUCUGCCUUCUUGUCUCUCCUCUUUCCCAUGCUUUCUUUUCUUUAUAAACAUAUUUGUUGCUAAAUAUUUUAUUUUUAAGUUGUUUAAAUACAAUGCCUCAUUGUGCUGAUGCUGCUGGUAUCAAACUCUGCAGAAAUGGUGAUCCCAAUCUACAGCAGUUCCACUGUGUACAGAGACUGUCAUAUCUGGUUGAUUUUGUGAAGUUUAUGAAGAGAAAUGAAUUGUGCUUUCUAAAAUAUCCUUUCUACAUCAAAAAAUGAACACGCUGUAUGCUCAUUAUGAUGAUUCAAUGGUAACUGUUAACUUGAAAGAAUCUGAAAUCACUUUGGAGGCAAGCUCUUGGGAAAAUAUCUGUGACAGCUUCUCUUGGUUAUCUUAGUUGUUAUUCAAAGACCCAUCUUAAUUGCCAGUAUGAACAACCUCUUGGCAGGAAACCCUAGAUUGCAUUAAAUGAAGCAGGCUAAACACAGUAUGAAUGCAUUUGUUGCUUCUUAUAUUGAGAACAUGUUUUCAUAGAUACAUUCUGAUCACUGUUUUACUCCCCCUAAAUUUUUCUGGGUGGGGGUGUUUGGGAGACAAAGUUUUUCUGUGGCUUGUGAGGCUGUCCUGGAACUAGCUCUUGUUGACCAGGCUGGUCAUGUACUCACAGAGAUCCGCCUGACUUUGCCUCCUGAGUGCUGGGAUUAAAGGUGUGCACCACCACCACCCAGCAGAGAGUAGAGUGCUUCCCUGACUGGGAAUCAAACCCGGGCUUAGAUGGUGAGAGCUUUGUAUCAUAACCUCUAGACCACCAGAGAUUAUCUUUCCCCAAACUUCUACCAAACCCUUUCCACUUUUAAACAACCCAAUUCCAUACCGUUUUUUUUUCUUUCUCCAGAAAACAAAUGAAAAAGUUAUCUCCUCCUUGGCCAUGGAUACAAUGAAAUCGGUUGCCUCAUGCUACUUCCUGUCACUUCCAUAAUCAUGGUAUAUUACUUGAAAUUAUAAGUCAAAAUACACUGUUUCUCCGGAUUUCUUUCUAGCUAACCCUUGCAAUUCAACAUGGAUCUUAACUCCAAACCACCAUAGAAGCCAGAAGGGGACCUGACCAUCUGAGCCUUCAGGAAUACAUCCUCCAUGGAUCUCAAUCUAUAUUCCCAAAGAGAGAAACAAGUAAGUGGCAUAUAGGUUAAAUAUUCAAAAUCAGGUAUUGAUAUUAAGUGUAUUAAUUCUCUAUGAAUAUUGUAGAGGAGCUUAUGAUGAGUUUUUAUGAGAGUGUGGGGAGCAUCAGCAGAGUUGGGGGGUAGAGGGAAGGGUACACAUGAUGUAAAUACAAUGCCCAUGCAUAGAAUUCUAAAAACAAAACAAAAUUGUAAAAAACAAAAUACGUGAAUACCUCAG